GAUGAACGCCGGCGGCGUGCCUAAUACAUGCAAGUCGAGCGAACGGACGAGGAGCUUGCUUCUCUGAUGUUAGCGGCGGACGGGUGAGUCACACGUGGAUAACCUACCUAUAAGACUGGGAUAACUUCGGGAAACCGGAGCUAAUACCGGAUAAUAUUUUGAACCGCAUGGUUCAAAAGUGAAAGACGUUCUUGCUGUCACUUAUAGAUGGAUCCGCGCUGCAUUAGCUAGUUGGUAAGGUAACGGCUUACCAAGGCAACGAUGCAUAGCCGACCUGAGAGGGUGAUCGGCCACACUGGAACUGAGACACGGUCCAGACUCCUACGGGAGGCAGCAGUAGGGAAUCUUCCGCAAUGGGCGAAAGCCUGACGGAGCAACGCCGCGUGAGUGAUGAAGGUCUUCGGAUCGUAAAACUCUGUUAUUAGGGAAGAACAUAUGUGUAAGUAACUGUGCACAUCUUGACGGUACCUAAUCAGAAAGCCACGGCUAACUACGUG
rnacentral:rRNA from 1 species